AAUAGCACACCCAAGUCCCUUUCCUGUCCUGACCUAGCUAGAGGCUGAGAGCUGGAGAGGAGACAACUUGGCUCCCUUCAAAAGGGGUGAUAAACCUUGAGAAAAUGCCAGGAGAGGUACCCACUGCAAUGAGCAUCAGCAUGCGUGUGCUUCCUCUGUCUCUGAGAUUAAUGGCUUCGGGGUCUGCGGUGUGGCCAGCUGCGAUAAUAGUGCUUGCUGGGAUGGCCUUUUACACCUGGAGGAGGAGCAGAGCAAGCCCAAGUUCCCGCAAUGAAUGGAGGUCAGAAUGAACACAAACCCUAAGAAGUAUUGGCAAGCAUCCUCUCCAAGCCCCCUACAGUUGGGAGAGCCCAGCUUCCUGGGGAUGGGAAUGCUGUGAGGAAACAUUUUACCUUUGGGGUAUGAACAAAAUCAACUUAUAGGCAAAAAAAAUGUCAUUGAAUACACCUGUAUUGAGUGCCUACUGUGUGCUUGACUCUUUUCCAGAACUGGGCUCUGAAUCCCAGGAUUCUGGGCCCUUUGUGGCCCAGCUCAAACCCUAGCAGCCCUGGGC